GGGGUCAAUGGGCAAUCAAUAAGACCCAUGGCCUAGGUUGGUGACCUCUAUUGCACUUUGGAGACCUCUAUUGCACUUUGGAGGGGUGCUCGUCUAAGGUCGACCCAAGUGGUUGACUCUACGUCAUAAUUUGUGGUAGUGGGGGCCUGUGUUCGCGCGGCCCUUACCCAAUUCUACACGUAAAAUUUUCUUCUCAAUGGGUUAUAUAUUGUCUAAUGGCCCAGAAGUCCCGUAAUGAGGUUUUUUUCUACACGAUUUUAUUGAUCAGUCUGUAAAGCAUUCUCAUACCAUUCAGAAGCAAUUCAAACACACUGAAUAUCAAUGUAAAGCCAUCUUAUUAUAACUAUAAAAGGUGAAAUUCAAACAACC
rnacentral:lncRNA from 1 species